rnacentral:rRNA from 1 species
UACGAAGGGGGCUAGCGUUGCUCGGAAUCACUGGGCGUAGAGCGCACGUAGGCGGAUUGCUAAGUCAGGGGUGAAAUCCUGGAGCUCAACUCCAGAACUGCCUUUGAUACUGGCGAUCUCGAGUCCGGGAGAGGUGAGUGGAACUGCGAGUGUAGAGGUGAAAUUCGUAGAUAUUCGCAAGAACACCAGUGGCGAAGGCGGCUCACUGGCCCGGUACUGACGCUGAGGUGCGAAAGCGUGGGGAGCAACAGG